rnacentral:lncRNA from 13 species
AGAUCUACGCGAAGUCGAUGCGCGCGGGGCGAGAGAGGAUGGAAUAAGUGCCACGUCCGGGUAUGAGAUCUCUCGUGCUUCGACGAUCUUACGACGGGACGCGGCGCCAAAAGAGUCGUCGUUCCACGGCCGAUGCGCUCGCGCCGAUAGCUACUACCGAUCCGCUCGUUUAACAGCGUAACAGCGAACAGCAACGGGAGCCGGAGCGCGGUGAACGUUGAACGAGAAAGAGAGGAGGGCGAGGGUAGAAGCAAAAGAAAGGAUUAGGACAGGCCGUUCGAGAAGGGGAUGCAUAGGAAUGAAAUGCGACGAAAAUACGCCUACCUUCUACGAGGGUGCUGCAAGUAAACCCCUGGCACCCGCGAAAGGAGAACAGUUACACGCCCCGCCUAUGGCGAGAUCGGCAGGAUGCAUCGCGAGUGAUAAUGACGGCGACGGGGAAGCCGCGGACGUGGCGUGCAUCGAGCGAGAAGCGCGGGUAUCGC